rnacentral:lncRNA from 1 species
CUUCAAUGUUUUGAAUUGGACUUCCUCGAAUUAAUCCGGCUAAAAUAGCUAAAUGGCCGUUGUGGACCCCAUCCUCAAUUGCAGGGGGCACAAAAGACAUCAUCGGCUUGGCAUUCGGAAGCUGUAUCGAAUUUUGGGGCUGUUACAAAAGCACAACCUCUUUUUACGUUGGUAACCCCAUUAACUUUAUGGAUUCGUUUAAUACAAGCCGGUUGGUUAUUUGCAGAAUCCGCACUGUUCCCACAAGUUACGAUUUUAUCACAAACUUCAUCUUUAUUCCCACUACAAUCAUAGCAUUGCAAUGAAUAAACUAAAAAAGAAUAAUUUCAUCUGAUUCUUCGUUCCCACCUUGAAACGUUUAAGCUGUUAUUUAUUCCAUUACGUCACCGCAUGAUUUCACAGGUGGGUAUAAAAAAUUAAUUCCAUUUAAGGUCAAUC